rnacentral:rRNA from 1 species
GGUUAAGCGACUAAGCGUACACGGUGGAUGCCCUGGCAGUCAGAGGCGAUGAAGGACGUGCUAAUCUGCGAAAAGCGUCGGUAAGGUGAUAUGAACCGUUAUAACCGGCGAUGUCCGAAUGGGGAAACCCAGUGCAAUUCGUUGCACUAUCGUUAACUGAAUACAUAGGUUAACGAGGCGAACCGGGGGAACUGAAACAUCUAAGUACCCCGAGGAAAAGAAAUCAACCGAGAUUCCCCCAGUAGCGGCGAGCGAACGGGGAGCAGCCCAGAGUCUGAAUCAGCUUGUGUGUUAGUGGAACGGUCUGGAAAGUCCGACGGUACAGGGUGAUAGUCCCGUACACCAAAAUGCACAGGCUGUGAACUCGAAGAGUAGGGCGGGACACGUGGUAUCCUGUCUGAAUAUGGGGGGACCAUCCUCCAAGGCUAAAUACUCCUGACUGACCGAUAGUGAACCAGUACCGUGAGGGAAAGGCGAAAAGAACCCCGGCGAGGGGAGUGAAAAAGAACCUGAAACCGUGUACGUACAAGCAGUGGGAGCACCUUCGGGUGUGACUGCGUACCUUUUGUAUAAUGGGUCAGCGACUUAUAUUCUGUAGCAAGGUUAACCGUAUAGGGGAGCCGCAGGGAAACCGAGUCUUAACUGGGCGUUAAGUUGCAGGGUAUAGACCCGAAACCCGGUGAUCUAGCCAUGGGCAGGUUGAAGGUUGGGUAACACUAACUGGAGGACCGAACCGACUAAUGUUGAAAAAUUAGCGGAUGACUUGUGGCUGGGGGUGAAAGGCCAAUCAAACCGGGAGAUAGCUGGUUCUCCCCGAAAGCUAUUUAGGUAGCGCCUCGUGAAUUCAUCUUCGGGGGUAGAGCACUGUUUCGGCUAGGGGGUCAUCCCGACUUACCAACCCGAUGCAAACUACGAAUACCGAAGAAUGUUAUCACGGGAGACACACGGCGGGUGCUAACGUCCGUCGUGAAGAGGGAAACAACCCAGACCGCCAGCUAAGGUCCCAAAGUCAUGGUUAAGUGGGAAACGAUGUGGGAAGGCACAGACAGCCAGGAUGUUGGCUUAGAAGCAGCCAUCAUUUAAAGAAAGCGUAAUAGCUCACUGGUCGAGUCGGCCUGCGCGGAAGAUGUAACGGGGCUAAACCAUGCACCGAAGCUGCGGCAGCGACACUAUGUGUUGUUGGGUAGGGGAGCGUUCUGUAAGCCUGCGAAGGUGACCUGUGAGGGUUGCUGGAGGUAUCAGAAGUGCGAAUGCUGACAUAAGUAACGAUAAAGCGGGUGAAAAGCCCGCUCGCCGGAAGACCAAGGGUUCCUGUCCAACGUUAAUCGGGGCAGGGUGAGUCGACCCCUAAGGCGAGGCCGAAAGGCGUAGUCGAUGGGAAACAGGUUAAUAUUCCUGUACUUGGUGUUACUGCGAAGGGGGGACGGAGAAGGCUAUGUUAGCCGGGCGACGGUUGUCCCGGUUUAAGCAUGUAGGCUGGUUAUCCAGGCAAAUCCGGAUAAUCAAGGCUGAGGUGUGAUGACGAGGCACUACGGUGCUGAAGUAACAAAUGCCCUGCUUCCAGGAAAAGCCUCUAAGCAUCAGGUAACAUUAAAUCGUACCCCAAACCGACACAGGUGGUCAGGUAGAGAAUACCAAGGCGCUUGAGAGAACUCGGGUGAAGGAACUAGGCAAAAUGGUGCCGUAACUUCGGGAGAAGGCACGCUGGUGUGUAGGUGAAGUCCCUGCGGAUGGAGCUGAGACCAGUCGAAGAUACCAGCUGGCUGCAACUGUUUAUUAAAAACACAGCACUGUGCAAACACGAAAGUGGACGUAUACGGUGUGACGCCUGCCCGGUGCCGGAAGGUUAAUUGAUGGGGUUAUCCGUAAGGAGAAGCUCUUGAUCGAAGCCCCGGUAAACGGCGGCCGUAACUAUAACGGUCCUAAGGUAGCGAAAUUCCUUGUCGGGUAAGUUCCGACCUGCACGAAUGGCGUAAUGAUGGCCAGGCUGUCUCCACCCGAGACUCAGUGAAAUUGAACUCGCUGUGAAGAUGCAGUGUACCCGCGGCAAGACGGAAAGACCCCGUGAACCUUUACUAUAGCUUGACACUGAACAUUGAGCCUUGAUGUGUAGGAUAGGUGGGAGGCUUUGAAGCGUGGACGCCAGUCUGCGUGGAGCCAACCUUGAAAUACCACCCUUUAAUGUUUGAUGUUCUAACGUUGGCCCCUGACCGGGGUUGCGGACAGUGUCUGGUGGGUAGUUUGACUGGGGCGGUCUCCUCCCAAAGCGUAACGGAGGAGCACGAAGGUUAGCUAAUCCUGGUCGGACAUCAGGAGGUUAGUGCAAUGGCAUAAGCUAGCUUGACUGCGAGCGUGACGGCGCGAGCAGGUGCGAAAGCAGGUCAUAGUGAUCCGGUGGUUCUGAAUGGAAGGGCCAUCGCUCAACGGAUAAAAGGUACUCCGGGGAUAACAGGCUGAUACCGCCCAAGAGUUCAUAUCGACGGCGGUGUUUGGCACCUCGAUGUCGGCUCAUCACAUCCUGGGGCUGAAGUAGGUCCCAAGGGUAUGGCUGUUCGCCAUUUAAAGUGGUACGCGAGCUGGGUUUAGAACGUCGUGAGACAGUUCGGUCCCUAUCUGCCGUGGGCGCUGGAGAAUUGAGGGGGGCUGCUCCUAGUACGAGAGGACCGGAGUGGACGCAUCACUGGUGUUCGGGUUGUCAUGCCAAUGGCACUGCCCGGUAGCUAAAUGCGGAAGAGAUAAGUGCUGAAAGCAUCUAAGCACGAAACUUGCCCCGAGAUGAGUUCUCCCUGAGACUUUAAGUCUCCUGAAGGAACGUUGAAGACGACGACGUUGAUAGGCCGGGUGUGUAAGCGCAGCGAUGCGUUGAGCUAACCGGUACUAAUGAACCGUGAGGCUUAACCUU